rnacentral:rRNA from 1 species
UACGAAGGGUGCAGGCGUUACUCGGAAUUACUGGGCGUAAAGCGUGCGUAGGUGGUUUGUUAAGUCUGAUGUGAAAGCCCUGGGCUCAACCUGGGAACUGCAUUGGAUACUGGCUUACUUGAGUGCGGUAGAGGGUGGCGGAAUUCCCGGUGUAGCAGUGAAAUGCGUAGAUAUCGGGAGGAACAUCCGUGGCGAAGGCGGCCACCUGGACCAGCACUGACACUGAGGUACGAAAGCGUGGGGAGCAAAC